rnacentral:misc_RNA from 1 species
CUGAGGUAUGUUCGGUUGUCACGAAAGUGCACCGGUUACCCGCCCAUAUGUCAUCUGUGCUGAACCCCGCGGCCGGAAGGUCGGAGGGAACAGGAACAUCAUUUCGGUCGAGGUGUUGUGCUCCUCAUCACGAGGGACACGACCGCGGCCGGCCGUAUUUUACACUCUUGUGAGAAUAUGAAGUCUGAGUAAAAAUGAAAAAUUUAAGCA